rnacentral:misc_RNA from 1 species
GCUACAGGCCACCGUCGAACGAAGACGAAUUUGAAUUUUCCGACUCCCCCCCGACCGGUAUAAAUAAACAGACGCGAUCGCGUGCGACACAGUAUCGAACAGUUCAUAUCGAGUAUCAACGCGACGAACAAUAACGAGUAUUUAUUCCGAGUUUUAUAUUGUAUCAACGAUUCACUAAUGAACAUAUGGUGAUUGAAGAAUUGUUGAAGCUUUUCGUUGGUGAAGUUGAUACAGAGUUGCUCAAAGCUGUUGUACUGCUCGAGACCAAGGAGGGGAAAAGCAACGGAACAGAAAACAGAGAAGAAGAGAAUACGAUGCUCAUCUUAUGAUGACCCAUGUAUCGACGACGAUGUAGUACGUAUGUAUAUAAGUAAAUAGGAACCAAAG